GUCGACUGCUCUCUACCAUGUGGGCCAGCUGCGCCAGCCUCACACACGUUCACUGCCGCGCGGGACCCACGCGUCAUCACCCACCUCCGCCAGAAUCGGAUCCGCGCCGCGAUACCAACUUCCUCCGCAUGCACAGGGAGUCUGUCCCCUGACUCCAACCUCUUGAGUCCGCGCCGGCCGCAAUAUUACACCUGCGCCGACCCUCAGUUCCAUCCACGCCCUAGUAAAAGCAUCCAGAGAGCUCGCCACCGGUGGGAAGCGCCGCAAGGAGGAACUGUCGACGCGCCGUGCCCAGAUCCUCGAAUUCGUCCACACUGGUCGUUGGGUGUCGCCGUGGUGCUUCACAUGGACACGCCAAAAAGGUUUGGGACAUCUUCGGGCGAGAUCUGCAACUGUCGCUGUGUCCACCACCACCCUCGGUGAAGAGCAGGUAGCCUAGGAGGAGGACUACUACGAGGAGUACGAGGAAGUCUAGGUGGCGUCUCCUAGUCAGUUUAAUGGCACCAAGGAAUAAUAUUAGUUCGCUUUAUUGUUAUCAUUUGUUUUUGUCAGACACUUCCGCUAUGUAAUAAUGUUUGUGACAUUUAUAUCUAUACACUUGGUCAUUAUA